rnacentral:rRNA from 1 species
GCAUAUCAAUAAGCGGAGGAAAAGAAACCAACAGGGAUUGCCCUAGUAACGGCGAGUGAAGCGGCAACAGCUCAAAUUUGAAAGCUGGCCUUCGGGUCCGCAUUGUAAUUUGUAGAGGAUGCUUUGGGUGAAACGCCAGUCUAAGUUCCUUGGAACAGGACGUCAUAGAGGGUGAGAAUCCCGUAUGUGACUGGAAAUGUUAACCUAUGUAAAGCUCCUUCGACGAGUCGAGUUGUUUGGGAAUGCAGCUCUAAAUGGGAGGUAAAUUUCUUCUAAAGCUAAAUAUUGGCGAGAGACCGAUAGCGCACAAGUAGAGUGAUCGAAAGAUGAAAAGCACUUUGGAAAGAGAGUUAAAAAGCACGUGAAAUUGUUGAAAGGGAAGCGCUUGCAAUCAGACUUGUUUAAACUGUUCGGCCGGUCUUCUGACCGGUUUACUCAGUUUGGACAGGCCAGCAUCAGUUUCGGCGGCCGGAUAAAGGCUCUGGGAAUGUGGCCUUCACUUCGGUGAAGGUGUUAUAGCCCAGGGUGUAAUACGGCCAGCCGGGACUGAGGUCCGCGCUUCGGCUAGGAUGCUGGCGUAAUGGUUGUAAGCGACCCGUCUUGAAACACGG